AUUAGAGUUUGAUCCUGGCUCAGGACGAACGCUUGCGGCGUGCCUAAGAAAUGCAAGUCGAACGGAGACCGGAGCAAUCCGGUUUUAGUGGCGAACGGUCGCGUAACACGUAAGGAACCUGCCCCGAAGUUCGGGAUAACAGUCUGAAAGGAUUGCUAAUACCGGAUGUGAACUCUCCUCGGCAUCGGGGGGUGUUUAAAGAUUUAUCGUUUCGGGAUGGUCUUGCGGCCUAUCAGGUAGUUGGUGGGGUAACGGCCUACCAAGCCGACGACGGGUAGCUGGUCUGAGAGGACGAUCAGCCGGAUUGGGACUGAGAUACGGCCCAGACUCCUACGGGGGGCAGCAAUUAGGAAUCUUGCACAAUGGGGGAAACCCUGAUGCAGCGACGCCGCGUGAAGGAUGACGCAUUUCGGUGUGUAAACUUCUUUUCUCGGGGAAGAAACAAAUGACGGUACCCGAGGAAUAAGCCCCGGCUAACUACGUGCCAGCAGCCGCGGUAAUACGUAGGGGGCGAGCGUUGUCCGAAGUUACUGGGCGUAAAGCGCGCGUAGGCGGCUUGCUAAGUUUGGGGUGAAAGGUUCAGCGCUCAACGUGAGCAGUGCCUUGAAAACUAGCCGGCUUGAGUGUGGCAGAGGAGUAUGGAAUUCCUGGUGUAGCGGUGAAAUGCGUAGAUAUCAGGAGGAACACCGAUGGCGAAGGCAGUACUCUGGGCUGACACUGACGCUGAGGCGCGAAAGCGUGGGGAGCGAACGGGAUUAGAUACCCCGGUAGUCCACGCCGUAAACGAUGAGUGCCAGGUGUCGGGGGUAUCGACCCCCCCGGUGCCGUCGCUAACGCAUUAAGCACUCCGCCUGGGGAGUACGGCCGCAAGGUUGAAACUCAAAGGAAUUGACGGGGGCCCGCACAAGCGGUGGAGCAUGUGGAUUAAUUCGUCACUAACCGAAGAACCUUACCCAGGUUUGACAUCCAGAGAAUCUGCCUGAAAGGGCGGAGUGCCUUCGGGAACUCUGAGACAGGUGUUGCAUGGCUGUCGUCAGCUCGUGUCGUGAGAUGUUGGGUUAAGUCCCGCAACGAGCGCAACCCUCGUCCUUAGUUGCCAGCAUUAAGAUGGGAACUCUAGGGAGACUGCCGGUGACAAACCGGAGGAAGGUGGGGAUGACGUCAAGUCAGCAUGCCCCUUACGUCCUGGGCAACACACGUACUACAAUGCGACGGACAAAGGGCAGCGAGCGUGCAAACGCCAGCGAAUCCCGAAAACCGUGGCUCAGUUCAGAUCGCAGGCUGCAACUCGCCUGCGUGAAGGCGGAAUCGCUAGUAAUCGCCGGUCAGCAUACGGCGGUGAAUUCGUUCCCGGGCCUUGUACACACCGCCCGUCACACCAUGGAAGCUGGCCACGCCCGAAGUCGUUACUCCAACCCCUUGUGGGAGGAGGAUGCCGAAGGCAGGGCUGGUGACUGGGGUGAAGUCGUAACAAGGUAACCAAU
rnacentral:rRNA from 1 species